GUAGUGAUGUGCUCGCUCCUGCAAUAUCCACUCUGAGUCUCUCACAGCUUCUUGAGAUUUAUUCCAGCUGUCCAGAUUGUUCUUCGUUGUAGAUUGAGUUAAAGCACCUGAUCCUGAGCUAUAGAGAAAAGAUGGGAAGUUUAAGACUCACUGGUUACCUUCAAGGACUGUCUCUGGUGUGGCAUAGGCAUAGUCUGCUUCG